AUUUGCAACAUAUUGACUAAUCAGAACUAUAGCAACAUCUUCUUUCGUCGUAAACUCUUUGAAUGCAUCCUCAAUUGCUUUAACAGUUGUUUUUGAGUCCACAAUAAGGUAGUUUGUCUUUCUUCGGAGAUCCACGUUGCCAACUCCAGCCAUCAAAAAUCCAGUCACGGUAUCCUCGUCGGCGAUCAUCGCUAUGAGAGCGGAGUUAUUGGUCUGAAUCUGAGUUCUUCCGGCCAUCCUUGAGCGCCUGUGAAGGGGACGAGGAGAUCG
rnacentral:misc_RNA from 1 species